AUGAUAUCUGGUGGCGGGAGGAACCAUGACUUGUUAGCCAUUGGGGAUGGACUGAUACGUUGUACUAGCACUCUCCCGCAGAUCAAGAGGCGCCAGACGAGCUCCGAUCCUGAGAUAAGGCCUCGUACACGGCCAAUGGAUCUCGAAAUCAAGGCUGCUAUUGAGGAAGAGAGAGCAAAGACCCAGGAUCUUCUGGCGGAGGAAAGGAGGAAGGUGGCGGAGAGGGAGAGGGAGACUGAGGAGAGGACGGCUAGGCUUUUGGAGGAGGAGAGGAACCGGAACGACUUGGCUAACCGGGCCAUAUACGAGCUCUUCGCGUCCAUGUGCAAGAAGAACGGUCAGACCCCUCCGCCGAUGCCAGUCAUUGCUCCGGCGGACACGCAUAACUCCCGACAAGCAUCGACGUCUGCCAUUGGCGCGAGCAAUAACCCCGAUCCUCCUCCGUCUGCCACUACCGCGAGCAAGAACCCCGAUCCUUCACCUACGGGUUGA
rnacentral:rRNA from 1 species